ensembl:lncRNA
AUGGACAAACAAGCACAAACUUGGCAAUAUCUGCAUCAAAUCUCCCAGCCUCAGUGCUCAGUCUCUUCGCCGUCAUGCCAGCAUUCCGUAGUCGUAUUCCUGGAUGCACAAACAGUGUGUAAUUAUCCCAGCCUCCCUGCUGUUCUUUCUCUUUCUUUCUCUCUCUCUCCCUCACCCAGUCUCUACAUAUCCCACACUGGAGAGACCGAGACCCAAGAUGAUUCUUUCUCUCUCGCUGUCGCUGUCACACAAGAGGAAAAGAGCUCCUCUCUUCAUUACAGAAGGACCUGAUCCAACUUGAAAGAUGCAGCCAUUAUUCUUGACUGUCUGGACUCCCCCCUCUCUUCCCUGUCACAGGCUUAUUGUUUGGCCUCCUGGGGUUGCAUUUUAAACCUGCACUGUCGCUCUGGCCCACAGAACGAGGGCUUCAUCGACUACUCAUAAUGUCUGCAUGCUGUUAGAGGAAAUUCUGGAAUAAGAAAAAACUGCAAAUAGUUUUAUGCAAAAAUAAUGGCAUUUGCUUCAUAAUGCAGAAGGAGUGAUGCAUGUAUGUGUUUAUUGUGCAAAGGUGUGAUACAAAGGACCGUUAUGCCAAAUGCACAUAAUAAUAACAACAAAAUGUUAACAUUUACACAGUACUAAUGCUUUGUCUAAAGCCAGUUCAUGAAUUGAUAUGAAUAAAUAAAUAAAUAAAAAUGAUUUAUAUUUAUAU